rnacentral:rRNA from 2 species
UGGUGCUUGCAUCAUGAUUUACAUUUGAGUGAGUGGCGAACUGGUGAGUAACACGUGGGAAACCUGCCCAGAAGCGGGGGAUAACACCUGGAAACAGAUGCUAAUACCGCAUAACAACUUGGACCGCAUGGUCCGAGUUUGAAAGAUGGCUUCGGCUAUCACUUUUGGAUGGUCCCGCGGCGUAUUAGCUAGAUGGUGGGGUAACGGCUCACCAUGGCAAUGAUACGUAGCCGACCUGAGAGGGUAAUCGGCCACAUUGGGACUGAGACACGGCCCAAACUCCUACGGGAGGCAGCAGUAGGGAAUCUUCCACAAUGGACGAAAGUCUGAUGGAGCAACGCCGCGUGAGUGAAGAAGGGUUUCGGCUCGUAAAACUCUGUUGUUAAAGAAGAACAUAUCUGAGAGUAACUGUUCAGGUAUUGACGGUAUUUAACCAGAAAGCCACGGCUAACUACGUGCCAGCAGCCGCGGUAAUACGUAGGUGGCAAGCGUUGUCCGGAUUUAUUGGGCGUAAAGCGAGCGCAGGCGGUUUUUUAAGUCUGAUGUGAAAGCCUUCGGCUCAACCGAAGAAGUGCAUCGGAAACUGGGAAACUUGAGUGCAGAAGAGGACAGUGGAACUCCAUGUGUAGCGGUGAAAUGCGUAGAUAUAUGGAAGAACACCAGUGGCGAAGGCGGCUGUCUGGUCUGUAACUGACGCUGAGGCUCGAAAGUAUGGGUAGCAAACAGGAUUAGAUACCCUGGUAGUCCAUACCGUAAACGAUGAAUGCUAAGUGUUGGAGGGUUUCCGCCCUUCAGUGCUGCAGCUAACGCAUUAAGCAUUCCGCCUGGGGAGUACGGCCGCAAGGCUGAAACUCAAAGGAAUUGACGGGGGCCCGCACAAGCGGUGGAGCAUGUGGUUUAAUUCGAAGCUACGCGAAGAACCUUACCAGGUCUUGACAUACUAUGCAAAUCUAAGAGAUUAGACGUUCCCUUCGGGGACAUGGAUACAGGUGGUGCAUGGUUGUCGUCAGCUCGUGUCGUGAGAUGUUGGGUUAAGUCCCGCAACGAGCGCAACCCUUAUUAUCAGUUGCCAGCAUUAAGUUGGGCACUCUGGUGAGACUGCCGGUGACAAACCGGAGGAAGGUGGGGAUGACGUCAAAUCAUCAUGCCCCUUAUGACCUGGGCUACACACGUGCUACAAUGGAUGGUACAACGAGUUGCGAACUCGCGAGAGUAAGCUAAUCUCUUAAAGCCAUUCUCAGUUCGGAUUGUAGGCUGCAACUCGCCUACAUGAAGUCGGAAUCGCUAGUAAUCGCGGAUCAGCAUGCCGCGGUGAAUACGUUCCCGGGCCUUGUACACACCGCCCGUCACACCAUGAGAGUUUGUAACACCCAAAGUC